rnacentral:tRNA from 1 species
GGCCUCGUGGCCCAAUGGCAAGGCGUCUGACUACGAUAGAGCAUCCACCUUCUGGAUCCUACCUGAUAAUCAGGAGAUUCUGGGUUCGACCCCCAGCGAGGUCA